CACGUAGGGCGCAAGCGUUGUCCGGAAUUAUUGGGCGUAAAGAGCUCGUAGGCGGUCUGUUGCGUCCGCUGUGAAAACUCGGGGCUUAACCCCGAGCCUGCAGUGGAUACGGGCAGACUAGAGGUAGGUAGGGGAGAAUGGAAUUCCAGGUGUAGCGGUGAAAUGCGUAGAUAUCUGGAGGAACACCGGUGGCGAAGGCGGCAUCCUGGACCGGUAUUGACGCUGAGGCGCGAAAGCUAGGGGAGCAACGGG
rnacentral:rRNA from 1 species